rnacentral:rRNA from 1 species
UAGAGGAAGGAGAAGUCGUAACAAGGUUUCCGUAGGUGAMCUGCGGAAGGAUCAUUGU